rnacentral:rRNA from 1 species
CCUACGGGAGGCAGCAGUGAGGAAUAUUGGUCAAUGGACGAGAGUCUGAACCAGCCAAGUAGCGUGAAGGAUGACUGCCCUAUGGGUUGUAAACUUCUUUUAUAUGGGAAUAAAAUGUUCCACGUGUGGGAUUUUGUAUGUACCAUAUGAAUAAGGAUCGGCUAACUCCGUGCCAGCAGCCGCGGUAAUACGGAGGAUCCGAGCGUUAUCCGGAUUUAUUGGGUUUAAAGGGAGCGUAGGUGGAUUGUUAAGUCAGUUGUGAAAGUUUGCGGCUCAACCGUAAAAUUGCAGUUGAAACUGGCAGUCUUGAGUACAGUAGAGGUGGGCGGAAUUCGUGGUGUAACGGUGAAAUGCUUAGAUAUCACGAAGAACUCCGAUUGCGAAGGCAGUUCACUGGACUGCAACUGACACUGAGGCUCGAAAGUGUGGGUAUCAAACAGGAUUAGAUACCCGUGUAGUC